rnacentral:piRNA from 1 species
UGUCCAGCUGGCGACACGUGAAGACCGGC